GUCCCUGUAGCUUAAUGGGUGGCGCGUUGGACUUAUAAUCCAAAGGUCGUGGGUUGGAAUCCCACCUGGGAUG